rnacentral:rRNA from 1 species
AAUCAACGCUGGCGGCGUGCCUCAGACAUGCAAGUCGAACGAUUAAAGCCCUCUUCGGAGAGUGCAUAGAGUGGCGCACGGGUGGGUAACACGUAAGUAAUCUACCUUCGAGUGGGGAAUAACGUCCGGAAACGGACGCUAAUACCGCAUAAUGCAGCGGCAUCGCAAGAUGACAGUUGUUAAAGAUUUAUCGCUUGAAGAGGAGCUUGCGGCAGAUUAGCUAGUUGGUAAGGUAAUGGCUUACCAAGGCUACGAUCUGUAACCGGUCUUAGAGGACGGUCGGUCACACUGACACUGAAUAACGGGUCAGACUCCUACGGGAGUCAGCAGUCGGGAAUUUUGGGCAAUGGGCGAAAGCCUGACCCAGCAACGCCGCGUGAAGGAUGAAGUAUUUCGGUAUGUAAACUUCGAAAGAAUGGGAAGAAUAAAUGACGGUACCAUUUAUAAGGUCCGGCUAACUACGUGCCAGCCGCCGCGGUAACAC